CGGGGAGUAGCGCAGCCUGGUUAGCGCGCCGUCUUCGGGAGGCGGAGGCCGGAGGUUCGAAUCCUCUCUCCCCGACCA
rnacentral:tRNA from 1 species